CGGGGUGUAACGUCGCGGUGGAGGCCAGGAUCCGCUUCAGUCCCGUUUCUGCAUCCGUAUCGGGGAUGAACCCUUUUAUUCAUUCUGGCUUUUAGCCAGAGGUGACCUCAUUGGACGUUGUCCGCGCCGGCCUUUGAGUCAUUUAACCACUCCUCUUGAUGGCCUGCUAGAGAAUAAUACCGGUUAAGCUACUGCCAGGCCAGUGGGGGACGGUAUCAUGCAAGUUUCUGAGUUUGAAAAGAUUAAUUUCUGUUCUGGAAGUCAGCCCCGUUAAGCCUAGUUUUAAACGGCUCAUAUAAAUUCUCAUCACACUAUGCAUGCCUAAUAGUGUGUGUAUUAUACUGUAUUGUACUCUUGUUUUUCGACAUCCAUUUGCUCUUUCAUUCGUUUCUCCGUCCAUUCAACAAAUAGCAUUGCUCCUCUUCUGUGUCAGGCACGCAAGGCUUUGAGUGUAAAGCAGAGACCAAAAGAGGAAAAGGGACCCCUACCAGGGCCCAGGCUCUGACACAUGGAAGUGAAUUGUCUGAGGAAACACGGGUGUUGACAAAGUUGUCUCUGGCCAUCACUCUGACUCAGGGUCCUUCCUGGAGGUGUGUCCAUCACUCAGCCAAAACGGAUUCCAGCAAGCAAGUUUCUGGGAGGGUGGCACUACAUAUGGUCUGGAGUCUCGUCUCUCUUCCUGAACUUUCCUGAAUUCUUCUGGUUAAUGGUAGCUUGUUAGUUCCUUGUUCCUAACCAGGUCCUCCUUUUGUAAGGAUGACUCAUGCAAGUGAUUACUGUGGUACCGGGCCAGGGCAAGCAGUUUUAGUUGGUAGUUCCCCUAACAAUUUGAUGUUACCAGCCCUCUGUCUCAAAAAACAUAUAUAAUGUUGCCUUGACUUCUAAUUAGUGGAACAGUUCUCAGAGUUUUCUCAAAUGCCCUUCCCAGGUAAUAAUCCUGAUGUACGGCUCACAUAAAAUUUUUCAUUUGUUUCUUAGAUAGAUGGAUUAAUUUUUCAUUGACUAUUUAUUAAAAUAAUAAAGGAAUUAUUUUAAUAUUACCAUAAAGCAGUGUGGACACUCACAUACUUCCCAAAGUAAACCUAAAGUGGUCAUCUGCUUUGUACAAUGGGAAAUGGAAUGGAAAUAAAUUGAAGGCAAACAGAUAAA